AGAAAGAUAAGCUAAUAAAGCUACUGGGUUCAUACCCCAUUUAUAGAGGUUUUAAUCCUCUUCUCUCUA
rnacentral:tRNA from 1 species